rnacentral:rRNA from 1 species
GAUGAACGCUGGCGGCGUGCCUAAUACAUGCAAGUAGAACGCUGAAGGAAGGAGCUUGCUCUUUCCGGAUGAGUUGCGAACGGGUGAGUAACGCGUAGGUAACCUGCCUGGUAGCGGGGGAUAACUAUUGGAAACGAUAGCUAAUACCGCAUAACAGUAGAUGUUGCAUGAUAUCUACUUAAAAGGUGCAAUUGCACCACUACCAGCUGGACCUGCGUUGUAUUAGCUAGUUGGUGAGGUAACGGCUCACCAAGGCGACGAUACAUAGCCGACCUGAGAGGGUGAGCGGCCACACUGGGACGGAGACACGGCCCAGACUCCUACGGGAGGCAGCAGUAGGGAAUCUUCGGCAAUGGACGGAAGGCUGAACGAGCAACGCCGCGUGAGUGAAGAAGGUUGUCGGAUCGUAAAGCUCUGUUGUAAGAGAAGAACGAGUGUGAGAGUGGAAAGUUCACACUGUGACGGUAUCUGACCAGAAAGGGACGGCUAACUACGUG